GUUUUGGUUAGACGUUCGCGGCGACCUUGAACUUCCGGUUCACGGUGUUGGGUUUUAAAAAAAUCGUGAAAAUUACGUUUCUGAUUAAACAUCGAUUAUGUCAUGCAUUUUUAGGCAGACAAAAGGUUAAAGAACAGUCACGCAUUUGUUUUGUGUUCAUUCAUUGUUUAUUUCCGCUGCAGUUGACGUCUGAAGUUACUACUCGAAUAAAAUCAACUUUUGCUGUCAAAAAGAAUAUUUUAUGAACUGAUCCUUCUGGCAAAAUACCACUUUGCCAAUUAUUAUAAAGAUUGUCAUUUUGAUUUUCUUAUAAUGCCGCCAAAGAAGCGUACUGUAAGCUUAUGCCCCCAGCACCAACAGGCAAAUGUCGACUUUUGCUUGAAGAACGGUAUAAAGAGAUUCCUGUUGAUGCUGAAGACUUGCUGAAUGGUCAUGUGGUUUUAAAAUUCAUGCAG